CAAAAAGAUAAAAAGUUGGGUUGCAAGUUGAAAAAAAAACAUUGUAACAGCAGCUGAUAUGAAAACUGUCCUUGACUCUAGAACAGGUGUUGCUGGAUGUCAAGUCUCUAAAUGUGCUAACAACACCUCAUAACACAAACUGAUUACACACAAGUUAGAAGGAAUAAAUGAUUUUAAUGAGUUGUGAGUUGAAAAAGAUGGUAUACUACUGAGGAAAGCCUACAACAUCGGCAAGGACUGAUGAAGAUUGCACAGCAGAAUAAAAAUGAUUGCUCAUUUGGGAUUAUCUCUUGUCCUUGAUAUAUAGUUAAACAAGUGCAGAGAUAUUUUUGCCUGAGCUUUUGUUCAUUUCAUCAAUGUUCAGAAAGAAG